rnacentral:tRNA from 1 species
UACACAGCAGCCUUAACUUAGGCUUUCAGAAAAGGCACUCUUGUUUUUGUAAGAGUGGUGUGUUUUUAUGAGAUGAUGCCGGGGAAGGUUUUCCGGUUUAUCCCGGAGGGCUUGUAGCUCAGUUGGUUAGAGCGCGCGCUUGAUAAGCGUGAGGUCGGAGGUUCAAGUCCUCCCAGGCCCACCAAUUAUUCUAUCCAUAUUUUGCUUAAGUGCUUAUAGCAUUUUUAAAAAGGGUUGUGGCGCUUAUCUAUUUUGCUUAAGUGCUCCAAAGUUAAAGCAGCUCAAACGUAAAGCGAUGCAAAUUUUGCUAUAAAUUUUGCACUGUCUCUUUAUAACAGUUAGCGCAUAUUUAACAGUUUGAAAUCCUUAUAUCCUGUUUUAGGGGCCGUAGCUCAGCUGGGAGAGCACCUGCUUUGCAAGCAGGGGGUCGUCGGUUCGAUCCCGUCCGGCUCCACCAUUUGGUCAUCAUCAUUGUUGUGAGAGCAGUCUUUGUAAAAGGUCCAGUGAUCUUUUGCUUGUUCUAUUGAAAUUGUGAAGAGAAGAUAUAUUCAGACAUGUUCCUUUUGGAAGAUUGUUUCUGAAGGACAAGUUUUUUUAUUAAGAAAAAUGCUUUCUUGGGAAAAACACUUGUUGUCAGAAAAAAGUUUUUUAAAACAGGUCUUAAAACAAAGAGAUCUCAAAAGAAAAACUUUCCUCUG